GUGAAAGUGAACGGGUAGGAGCAAGAUGUGACAUCAUUUUUAAAUAGGUGACUAGGCCAGCUAAGGAGACCUUUGAACAAAAGGGACUUGACAAUGCAAGCUUCCGACAAGAGGCUAUGACAGAGCAACAACUCUGAGCCUGUUGACUCCUGGAAAAUCUUGUGUCCUGCGUCUCAGCACCUCAAGCGGUGCCAGAGACACACUUCACCUUGAUCAAUAUUUCAGAAAAAGAAUGCAUGAAUGUAGUCAAGCCCCCUAACAUAACCAGUCAAGCCACUUUGUUCCAAAGGUAAGUUUAGCAUCAAUCCUCCAGGGCCUUAGUCAUGGCAAUUAAACUGUAGAACCA
rnacentral:lncRNA from 1 species